rnacentral:rRNA from 1 species
UACGUAGGGUGCGAGCGUUAAUCGGAAUUACUGGGCGUAAAGCGUGCGUAGGCGGCUGUGCAAGACAGAUGUGAAAUCCCCGGGCUUAACCUGGGAACUGCAUUUGUGACUGCAUGGCUAGAGUGUGUCAGAGGGAGGUGGAAUUCCGCGUGUAGCAGUGGAAUGCGUAGAGAUGCGGAGGAACACCGAUGGCGAAGGCAGCCUCCUGGGAUAACACUGACGAUCAGGCACGAAAGCGUGGGGAGCAAACA